rnacentral:rRNA from 1 species
AUUGAACGCUGGCGGCAGGCCUAACACAUGCAAGUCGAGCGGAGCGGCGGACGGGUGAGUAAUGCCUAGGAAUCUGCCUGGUAGUGGGGGAUAACGUCCGGAAACGGGAGCUAAUACCGCAUACUAUCAGAUGAGACUAGGUCGGAUGAGCUAGUUGGUGGGGGAAAGGCCUACCAAGGCGACGAUCCGUAACUGGUCUGGGAGGAUGAUCAGUCACACUGUAACUGAGACACGGUCCAGGCUCCUACGGGAGGCAGCAGUGGGGAGUAUGGGACAAUGGACGAAAGCCUGAUCCAGCCAUGCCGCGUGUGGGAAGGAGGUCUUCGGAUUGUAAAGCACUUUAAGUUGGGAGGCGUUACGAGCAGAAUAAGCACCGGCUAACUUCGUGCCAGCAGCCGCGGUAAUAC